UACGUAGGGGGCAAGCGUUGUCCGGAAUCAUUGGGCGUAAAGCGCGUGUAGGCGGCUCGGUAAGUCCGCUGUGAAAGUCGGGGGCUCAACCUCGGGUCUGCAGUCGAUACGGGCGGACUGGAGUUCGGCAGGGGAGACUGGAAGUUCCUGGAUGUAGCGGUGAAAUGCGCAGAUAUCAGGAGGAACACCGGUGGCGAAGGCGGGUCUCUGGGCCGAUACUGACGCUGAGGAGCGAAAGCGUGGGGAGCGAACAGG
rnacentral:rRNA from 1 species